rnacentral:rRNA from 1 species
AUUGAACGCUGGCGGCAUGCCUUACACAUGCAAGUCGAACGGCAGCGGACCUUCGGGUGCCGGCGAGUGGCGAACGGGUGAGUAAAGUAUCGGAACGUACCUUUCAGUGGGGGAUAACUGUCCGAAAGGACAGCUAAUACCGCAUAUUCUGUGAGCAGGAAAGCAGGGGAUCGCAAGACCUUGCGCUGAUUGAGCGGCCGAUAUCAGAUUAGCUAGUUGGUGAGGUAAAGGCUCACCAAGGCGACGAUCUGUAGCGGGUCUGAGAGGAUGAUCCGCCACACUGGAACUGAGACACGGUCCAGACUCCUACGGGAGGCAGCAGUGGGGAAUUUUGGACAAUGGGGGCAACCCUGAUCCAGCCAUGCCGCGUGAGUGAAGAAGGCCUCGG